UUCAAAAGACAUCUUGAACUGCAAGAGGGACUGGGAAAAGUGAAGCUAUCAUCUCUGUCCCUAUCUUGGAAUUGGGCACUUCCAACAGAUAAGCAAACUGAACUGCAGAAGUGUUAACAUAGUGAGGAAGUGAAGGAGCCAAGAUUCCAACUCCACCAUCCGGCCGCAGAGGCUGCCCAAGGCGCGGUUCUCAGCCAGCAGCGUCUGCCACAGCAGGCUGCCUCUAAAAUCAUAACACGUAAAAGUUCUAAGUGAUGCUUGUCUGCCUCAGAAGUGCAAAUGUGACAUUUGCCCCUGGCUGCAGUCAUGGUGUGGGGUGAAAAGAGCAGAGGGGCAUCCAAGAGUGACAAGAAUUGCUUUCUGUCAUCAUCAAGGCUGCGUCAGCUCACACUGUGAUCAGGUAAGGUUUGAGACCAGGAGAGUCUACUUCAUUGCCAGGGGCCAGGGACAAAUGGUCAGCUGUCCAUCAUGCUGUAACGGGAAUCAGAAAGUCUUGGCAAGUCAGGAGCAAGUGAUUGAAGGGUCCAGUUACAAGCAGGCAGGAUUAGAAUAGAAUAGAGGCUCUAAGUUAGAGGAAUGUUUUAGGGGGCAUUUCCAC
rnacentral:lncRNA from 1 species